rnacentral:rRNA from 1 species
UACGUAGGGGGCAAGCGUUGUCCGGAUUUAUUGGGCGUAAAGAGCGUGUAGGCGGCCUGACAGGUCUGCUGUGAAAACUCGAGGCUCAACCUCGAGAUGUCGGCGGAAACGGUCUGGCUAGAGUCCGGAAGAGGAGAGUGGAAUUCCUGGUGUAGCGGUGAAAUGCGCAGAUAUCAGGAAGAACACCUAUGGCGAAGGCAGCUCUCUGGGACGGUACUGACGCUGAGACGCGAAAGCGUGGGGAGCGAACAGG